AGGAAACAAUAUUUGGAACAAUAUUUGGAACAAAGUGGAACAAUAUUUGGACUAGUUUAACAAUCUCAGAUGAUUUCCUCUUUUUUAUCAACAGGGGCUACAGGAGAGAAUGAGAAAGGAACUUUCUAUGUCUCCAAGCAAAGUCGAGAAGAAACCAGAAUUGUCUUGGUCCUAAGGGAAGCUCUUUGGAGCCUCCAGAAGUUCUGGAACAUCACUGCAGCGGCUGAAAUUAAGCAGAGGGGGAUCCUGUCUCUCAUCUCCCACCCAGUUUUACUCAGCAAUAAUGAACAUACAUCACUGUGUAAGUUAAAGGCAUACAGCAUGAUGACUUGCUUUACAUGUGUUGUGAAAUGAUUACCACAAUAGAUCCAGCCAACUUUCAUCUUCCCAUAUAGAUGCAAGAAGAAGAAAAGAAAGAAAAAAGGAAAAUAUUUUUUCCUUGUGAUUAGAACUCUUAGGAUGAACAAUCUCUUUCUUUAAAAUAAUUUUUAUUUUUUCCAUUAUAGUUCUGUCAAUUUUCUACUGUACAGCAAAGUGACACACACACACACACACACACACACACACACACACACGCAUUCUUUUUCUCACAUUGUCCUCCAUCAGGCUCCAUCACAAGUGACUAGAUAGAGUUCCCUGUGCUAUACAGCAGGAUCUCAUUGCUUAUCCAUUCCAAAGACAAUAGUUUGCGUCUAUUAACCCCAGAUUUCCAGUCCAUCCCACUCCCUCCCCCUCCCCCUCGGCAACCACAAGUCUCUUCUCCAAGUCCAUGAGUUUCUUUUCUUUUCUGUGGGAAGUUUCGUUUGUGCUGUGCGUUAGAUUCCAGAUAUAAGUGAUAUCAUAUGGUAUUUGUCUUUCCCUUUCUGACUUAAUUCACUUAGUGAGGAUGGACUCUCUUGACUUGCUUAUGUAUCAUACAGCAGUAUUAGCAGUAAUCAUCCUGUUUUACAUUGCACCCCUAGUAUUUAUUUGUCUUGUGACUGGAAGUUUGGACCUUUUUAAUCACCUUUCUCCAAUUCCCCUUCCCUCACUACCUGACUUUGCUAACUACAAGUCUGACUUCUUUUUCUCUGAGUUUGAUUUGUUCUUUGUUUUAAAUUCCACGUAUCAGUGAGAUCAUAUGUAUUUGUCUUUCUCUGUCUGACUUAUUUCACUUAACACAAUACCUUCAAGGUCCAUCCAUAUUGUUGCAAAUAGUGGGAUUUCUUUGCUUUUUAUGGCUGAAUAAUAUUCCAUUGUGAAUAUUUACAUACACACACCACAAUUUCUUUACCUGUUCAUCCAUCUAUGGACACUUAAAUUGUUUCUGUGUCUUGGGUAUUGUAAAUGAUACUGUUGUAAACAUGGAAGUUCA
rnacentral:lncRNA from 1 species